rnacentral:tRNA from 1 species
AAUUAAUGAUCUUGAAUAAGUUUAUGUCUUGAAAACAUAUUAAAGAAAUAUAAAUUUUCUAUUAAUUC